UACGUAGGUGACAAGCGUUAUCCGGAUUUAUUGGGCGUAAAGCGCACGCAGGCGGCUCUUCAAGUCUGACGUGAAAUCUCUCGGCUUAACCGGGAGCGGUCGUUGGAAACUGAAGGGCUUGAGGCGAUGAGAGGGGUGUGGAAUUCCCGGUGUAGUGGUGGAAUGCGUAGAUAUCGGGAGGAACAUCAGUGGCGAAAGCGGCACCCUGGCAUUAGCCUGACGCUCAUGUGCGAAAGCGUGGGGAGCGAACGGG
rnacentral:rRNA from 1 species